GUUUCACCAUGUUGGCUGGGCUGGGCUUGAACUCCUGACUUCAAGUGAUCACCCCACCUUGGCCUCCAGAAAUGUCUUCCAACAGAAAUGCUGCACCCAGCCUGAUUGCUAAUUUUUUAGAGUGGAUAUUUUGUCUCACAUUUCACCAUGGGCUUUGGAAGAUGAAUUCACAUGCCUUUCUCUCUUCACUGGGCAUUUUAACAACAUUGUAAAAUCCAUCAGCUAAGAUUUCUCAAAGUCCCCCAAACCAAUCUAGCUCCCUUUUUACCUGCCUUUGUAUACUGGGGCUUGUAUAAGAUUUUAUUUCAAAAGGGGUUCUGCAGCUACCAAUGGCCUCGGAAACUCUUACGGACAGCACUCCAGAAGGAAGAAAUGAGGCAAUGUUCACUUCUUUUCGAGGCAUUCAUCACAUAUCUGGACCACUGCCUCCAACCCCACCCGCCAAGUUCACCAUUUCCCUUGCGAUGGAAGGAAAAAGCCCUGGCCCACGGGGUUGCUCUGAAAAGGUGGCCAAUUCACUUUCUUUUUUUUGUUUGUUUCCUUUUUUGAGACAGAGUCUUGCUCUGUCGCCCAGGCUGGAGUGCAGUGGCACGAUCUCGGCUCAUUGCAACAUUCGCCUCCCGGAUUCAAGCGAUUCUUCUGCCUCAGCCUCCGGAGUAGCUGGGAUUUCAGACACUUUCUUCUUUCACUUUUACUGACAGAAACUUGUUCAGAGGAGAAAGCCCAGGUGCUCUGGCCUGAGGCUCUGACCAAAACUAUCUUCGACAUCACUUUAAACAGUUAAAGAAGUAGUAACUUUGAAGGUUUGGCCGGGGUGUGUGUGUGUGUGUGUGUGUGUGUGUGUUGCCAAAGAUGGCAACUUCCGGAUAGGUCUUUGCUUGAUAAAAAGAUAUUAGCUGCCUUUUCAGUUGUGGAAGUUGAGGCCCAGGACACAGUUUGAAUGAGGUGGCUGGGGCAAAGGAAGACAACGUCCAUUUUCUGAGGAGCUAUGCUGCAGAGAGGAUAAGGGUUCAGAGCCUGUGCUUCCAAGAUGACUUUGGGACCAGGGUGUAUGAGGAGGUAGGAAGGCGUGGCCCCUGCACGAGGCCUGGCUGGGAAACGCCGCUGUGAUCACAUCGUUCAUCACUCACUGCUGACCACCUGACAGUUUUCCAGGACCAAGCCUCCUGCACUGUGUGAUUCUGGGAACAUCUCCUCUGGCUCACAAGGUCUGAAAAGCAAACCAGUCAGCUAUGGAAGUCAGAGACUCCAAAUGGAGGGGCCGGCUGAAGCCAUGGCAGAAGAACGUGGAUUGUGAAGAUUUCUUGGACAUUUAUUAGUUCCCCAAAUUAAUACUUUUAUAAUUUGUUAUGCCUGUCUUUACUGCAAUCUCUAAACAUAAACUGUAAAGAUUUCAUGGACACUUAUCACUUCCCCAAUUAAUACCCUUGUGAUUUCCUAUGCCUGUCUUUAAUCUCUUAAUCCUGUCAGCUGAGGAGGAUGUAUAUCGCCUCAGGACCCUGUAAUAAUUGCAUUAACUGCACAAAUUGUACAGCAUGUGUGUUUGAGCAAUAUGAAAUGUGGGCACCUUAAAAAAAGAACAGCAUAACAGCAAUUGUUCAGGGAAUAAGAGAGAUAACCUUAAACUCUGUCCACCAGUGAGCUGGGUGGAACAGAGCCAUAUUUCUCUUCUUUCAAAAGCAAAUGGGAGAAAUAUCACCGAAUUCUUUUUCUCAGCAUGGAACAUCCCCGAGAAAGAGAAUGCGCACCUGGGGGUAGGUCUCUAAACUGGCCCCACUGGGCGUGGUCGUCUCUUAUGGUCGAGACUGCAGAGGUGAGAUAGACUCCAGUCUCCCAUAGCGCUCCCAGGCUUAUUAGGAAGACGAAAUUCCUGCCGAAUAAAUUUUGGUCCGAUGGUUGAUCUCAAAACUCUGUCUCCUGAUAAGAUGUUAUCAAUGACAACAGUGCCUGAAACUUCAUUAGCAAUUUUAAUUUUGCCUCAGUCCUGUGGUCCUGUGAUCUCACCCUGCCUCCACUUGCCUUGUGAUAUUCUAUUACCUUGUAAAGUACUUUAUGUCUGUGACCCACACCUAUUUGCACACUCCCUCCCCUUUUGAAACUCCCUAAUAAAAACUUGCUGGUUUUUGUGGCUUGUGGGGCAUCACGGAACCUACUGACAUGCGAUGUCUCCCCCUGACGCCCGGCUUGAAAAUUUCUCUCUUUUGUACUCUGUCCCUUUAUUUCUGAAGCUGGCCAAUGCUUAGGGAAAAUAGAAAAGAACCUACAUGAAUAUUGGGGCAGUUUCCCCGAUAUCAAU
rnacentral:lncRNA from 10 species